GGCGAACGGGUGAGUAACGCGUGAGCAAUCUACCUUAGUUACAGGGAUAGCCCGAGGAAACUCGGAUUAAUACCUGAUAUUCUUUAUUUCUCGCAUGAGAAUAAAAGGAAAGGUCAGCCGAACUAAGAUGAGCUCGCGUUCUAUCAGCUAGUUGGUGAGGUAAAAGCUCACCAAGGCUACGACGGAUAGCUGGUCUGAGAGGACGAUCAGCCACACUGGGACUGAGACACGGCCCAGACUCCUACGGGAGGCUGCAGCAGGGAAUAUUGUGCAAUGAACGAAAGUUUGACACAGCGACACCGCGUGUGGGAUGACGGAUCUAGGUUUGUAAACCACUUUCAGGAGGGAAGAAAAUGACGGUACCUCCAUAAGAAGCCCCGGCCAACUACGUGCCAGCAGCCGCGGUAAUACGUAGGGGGCGAGCGUUGUCCGGAUUUAUUGGGCGUAAAGAGCUCGUAGGCGGUUCAACAAGUCGGUCGUGAAAGUCCAGGGCUCAACCCUGAAAUGUCGAUCGAUACUGUUGUGACUAGGAUACGGUAGAGGUGAGUGGAAUUCCGAGUGUAGCGGUGAAAUGCGUAGAUAUUCGGAGGGACACCAAUUGCGAAGGCAGCUCACUGGGCCGCUAUCGACGCUGAGGAGCGAAAGCUAGGGGAGCAAACAGGAUUAGAUACCCUGGUAGUCCUAGCUGUAAACGAUGGAUACUAGACGUAGGAACUGGAUUGACGGUUUCUGUGUCGCAGCUAACGCGUUAAGUAUCCC
rnacentral:rRNA from 1 species